GCUUUUUUUUACAGUUUUAAACAUUAAUUAAUUUAUUGUUCAAGUUGAUUUAUUGACAGAAAGAAAGAGAGCAACCUCCCAUCAGCUGGUAUACUUCUACAUGCUUGUAUUCCAGGCUAGUAUAAGCAGAAGCUGGAAGGUAGGAACUCAAUUAAAGUCUCUUACAUGGGUGACAGUAACGGAAUUACUUGAGCCAUCACUACUACUUAUUAGGGUCUGUAUUUGCAGAAUGCUGGAGUUAGGGAUUGAAGCAAAAAUGGAACUGAGGCAAUUCAGUAUGGAACAUGGGUGUCUUAAGUGUUAAGGGAAAUCUCCAACCAGUUUUAAUAAUUUUAAAGAAUUGUGACAAUAGUAUUUACAACUGACAGCAAAGUAAUUUGCCAAACCUCACAUUUCAAUGUGUAAUGUUUAUUUACCUCUUAAUAAGACGUUGUGAGAAUAAGACUGAUGGUCCUUAUUCUCUAGUGUAGAAUUUGGAAAUUAAUGUUUUGCCAUGUUAUAUAAUACAAUGAACUUUUGUUACGUAGUAGUGUUAUGAAUGUGUAUGGAAAUAUACUAUGUAGGGACUGACUAGAGUUAGGACUUGAAGUGUGAGACAGUUAGAUCAGUAAAAUAGUGGAUGGAAUGAUAACACUCCCCAUAUCUCCCUUGAAUGAAUACCUGCUCUGCCAGCUGUGUUUGAGAGGGUCACUCUUUGCAAGCUUAUUCCUUUCCCAUAGUGGCCAAUUUUUAGUGAGUGAUGUUGGGAAGAUUUAAGCAGUCAGCAUUUUAACUUACCAGGGACAACUCUGACAUUUCGUUUUAGCUGCAAAUCUCUAAGCUGGUGGCCAAAACUGUUACUGGACUGUGUCAUACCUCAACUCUGCUCUUCGCCAAACUCCAAAUCCUCCCUAUUCCUUCCUUGGAUUUGAAUCUCAAGGGUGUUCUCUAAUAGAUGUUUGACAGCCUGAAUCCUAUUUCAGAGUCUGCUACUGGGAGAAUCGUGCUCUUGCAGUGGGCAGGCAAAAAGAGUAAUAGCAUUCCACUUGUUGAGAGGAUCAGAAGCAAUAAUGAAGAGAAGCUCUGUUGAGAUUUAGUGAGAUUAAUUACCUGGAUAAUGUGCAGUGUUUAUGUGUGAAAUGGUAAACUGUGAAGUUGCCAAAACUGCUUUGUUGUGGGGAGAGCAGGAAGCCUUUUGAGCAGGGAUGUGAUGUGAAGAAAACUGUGCCUUGGAAGCAAUAAUCCAGUGAAAAUAGGAAUACAAAUCCUAGCUCUAGUUUCUUAAUAUGAUCUGUAAUUCUCAAGGAAUGUUUUAUUAUAAAAUUGGCUAGUAAUUUU